UCGAGUUUGUUCUGUUUCAAUCACUAGUUCUCAAAAAAACGCAUCUAUGCGCAUAAUCACCACGUAAAUCCGCUGCAAAAUCAUCUAGAGAUGAGCCUGUAUCAUUAUUUUAUAUUAGGGAGGGGAGGGACAGCAGUAUAUUGGUAAAAACAUGAAAAAUAUGAAGGAUUCUGCCUUUCGUUACCAUGGCAACCAAGCUGAAAAUUAUAGUGAGGUGGUUAAAAACAGCUCCUGACAGAACAAUUUUUUAAAUUUAAGCAAAUAAAUACUUUCACAACAUCAAUUACAUGUCACAGUAACUAUUUAGCUCAAAAAAUGAAAAUCCAUUUUUUCAAAUGAUUCCAUGUGUACCCCCCCCCCCUUAAGGUUUU